rnacentral:rRNA from 1 species
UUAGUGGCGGACGGGUGAGUAACGCGUGGAUAACCUGCCGUAUACAGGGGGAUAACACUUAGAAAUAGGUGCUAAUACCGCAUAAGCGCACGGUUCCGCAUGGAACAGUGUGAAAAACUCCGGUGGUACAGGAUGGACCCGCGUCUGAUUAGGUAGUUGGCGGGGUAACGGCCCACCAAGCCGACGAUCAGUAGCCGACCUGAGAGGGUGACCGGCCACAUUGGGACUGAGACACGGCCCAA